rnacentral:rRNA from 1 species
GAUUCCCCUAGUAACUGCGAGUGAAGCGGGAAGAGCUCAAAUUUAAAAUCUGGCGGUCCUUUGGCCGUCCGAGUUGUAUUCUGGAGAAGUGCUUUCCGCGCUGGACCGUGUAUAAGUCUCUUGGCCCAGAGCGUCAUAGAGGGUGAGAAUCCCGUCUUUGACACGGACUACCAGUGCUUUGUGAUGCGCUCUCAAAGAGUCGAGUUGUUUGGGAAUGCAGCUCAAAAUGGGUGGUA